rnacentral:tRNA from 1 species
GACCGCGUAGCUCAGCUGGUAGAGCAUACGCGUACAAAGUGUAGGUGGCGUUCAUGCGUGGGUUCGUGUCCCACUGAGGCUA